UGCGAACUCCUACGGGAGGCAGCAGUGGGGAAUAUUGCACAAUGGGGGAAACCCUGAUGCAGCGACGCCGCGUGAGUGAAGAAGUAUUUCGGUAUGUAAAGCUCUAUCAGCAGGGAAGAUAAUGACAGUACCUGACUAAGAAGCCCCGGCUAACUACGUGCCAGCAGCCGCGGUAAUACGUAGGGGGCAAGCGUUAUCCGGAUUUACUGGGUGUAAAGGGAGCGUAGACGGAAUGGCAAGUCUGAAGUGAAAUACCCGGGCUCAACCUGGGAACUGCUUUGGAAACUGUUGUUCUAGAGUGUUGGAGAGGUAAGUGGAAUUCCUGGUGUAGCGGUGAAAUGCGUAGAUAUCAGGAAGAACACCGGAGGCGAAGGCGGCUUACUGGACAAUAACUGACGUUGAGGCUCGAAAGCGUGGGGAUCAAACAGGAUUAGAUACCCUUGUAGUCCU
rnacentral:rRNA from 1 species